AAUGGCUUACCAAGCCGUUGAUCGGUACGGGUUGUGAGAGCAAGAGCCCGGAGAUGGAACCUGAGACAAGGUUCCAGGCCCUACGGGGUGCAGCAGGCGCGAAACCUCCGCAAUGUGAGAAAUCGCGACGGGGGGAUCCCAAGUGCCAUUCUUAACGGGAUGGCUUUUCAUUAGUGUAAAGAGCUUUUGGAAUAAGGGCUGGGCAAGACCGGUGCCAGCCGCCGCGGUAACACCGGCAGCUCUAGUGGUAGCAGUUUUUAUUGGGCCUAAAGCGUCCGUAGCCGGUUUAAUAAGUCUCUGGUGAAAUCCUGUAGCUUAACUGUGGGAAUUGCUGGAGAUACUAUUAGACUUGAGACCGGGAGAGGUUAGAGGUACUCCCAGGGUAGAGGUGAAAUUCUGUAAUCCUGGGAGGACCGCCUGUUGCGAAGGCGUCUAACUGGAACGGUUCUGACGGUGAGGGACGAAAGUUAGGGGCGCGAACCGGAUUAGAUACCCGGGUAGUCCUAACCGUAAACGAUGCGGACUUGGUGUUGGGGUGGCUUUGAGCUGCUCCAGUGCCGAAGGGAAGCUGUUAAGUCCGCCGCCUGGGAAGUACGGUCGCAAGACUGAAACUUAA
rnacentral:rRNA from 1 species